GCAGCCGCGGUAAUACAGAGGGUGCAAGCGUUAAUCGGAAUUACUGGGCGUAAAGCGCGCGUAGGUGGUUAGUUAAGUUGGAUGUGAAAUCCCCGGGCUCAACCUGGGAACUGCAUUCAAAACUGACGGGCUAGAGUAUGGUAGAGGGUGGUGGAAUUUCCUGUGUAGCGGUGAAAUGCGUAGAUAUAGGAAGGAACACCAGUGGCGAAGGCGACCACCUGGACUGAUACUGACACUGAGGUGCGAAAGCGUGGGGAGCAAACAGGAUUAGAUACCCCGGUAGUCC
rnacentral:rRNA from 1 species